AGAGUUUGAUCAUGGCUCAGAUUGAACGCUGGCGGCAGGCCUAACACAUGCAAGUCGAACGGUAACAGGAAGAAGCUUGCUUCUUUGCUGACGAGUGGCGGACGGGUGAGUAAUGUCUGGGAAACUGCCUGAUGGAGGGGGAUAACUACUGGAAACGGUAGCUAAUA
rnacentral:rRNA from 1 species